rnacentral:ncRNA from 1 species
GCCGCGUAAGCCGAAAAGCGAACAGAGUAGGCA